GAUGAACGCUGGCGGCGUGCCUAAUACAUGCAAGUCGAGCGAACAGACGAGGAGCUUGCUUCUCUGAUGUUAGCGGCGGACGGGUGAGUAACACGUGGAUAACCUACCUAUAAGACUGGGAUAACUUCGGGAAACCGGAGCUAAUACCGGAUAAUAUUUUGAACCGCAUGGUUCAAUAGUGAAAGACGGCCUUGCUGUCACUUAUAGAUGGAUCCGCGCCGCAUUAGCUAGUUGGUAAGGUAACGGCUUACCAAGGCAACGAUGCGUAGCCGACCUGAGAGGGUGAUCGGCCACACUGGAACUGAGACACGGUCCAGACUCCUACGGGAGGCAGCAGUAGGGAAUCUUCCGCAAUGGGCGAAAGCCUGACGGAGCAACGCCGCGUGAGUGAUGAAGGUCUUCGGAUCGUAAAACUCUGUUAUUAGGGAAGAACAAAUGUGUAAGUAACUGUGCACAUCUUGACGGUACCUAAUCAGAAAGCCACGGCUAACUACGUG
rnacentral:rRNA from 1 species